CAGCCUGGGUGACAGAGUGAGACUCUGUCUCAAAAACAUAAUAAUAGUAAUAAUAAAAGAAAAAGGCAAAAAUUCAAACAACUUAACAGAAACUGGGCAAAAGAGCUGAACCAGCCCGCCACAGAAGAGGAAAUGUGGAGGAAUGGCUAAUGAAAACACAAAGAGGGGCUCAGCCUAACCGGGGAAGAUAUCACGUGACACUCACCAGACUGGCAAAAAUCCCAUAACCCAAACAAUGCCAGUGUUGGGGAGAAUGGAGAGUAGCAGGAACACCAUGCACUGCUAAGAACGGUUGUGAAAUAUAUUUUUGUGAUGCUUGUAUAUGAAAGGGUGUGUGCUGUGGGUUACGAGGAAAAUUACAUUUCUUACCUGGGAUGAAAUUUUAAAUCUUGAAAGCUACUGACCAGAAGAAACUUGCAUUGUGUACCAAAAAAAAAAAAAAAAAAAAAUGCCGAAGAACGUUCCCAGCAAAACACAGUCCUCAGGGCCCCAACCUGGCCAAACUCUCAUCCACAGGAAGAUGAAGACAUUUCCCGUGCUCCACUCAGACGACGGGAGAUCACGCAGCAUAAAAAUCAACCAUGUCAGUGUGGGUGGGUCUUGGGGGAGAAUGGAGACGGGAGAUCAUGCGGUAAUGAAAAUGAACCAUGUCAGUGUGGGUGGGUCUCAGGGGAGAAUGGAGAUGGGAGAUCACACAGUAUGAAAAAGAACCUUGUCAGUGUGGGUGGGUCUCAGGGAGAGAAAGGAGACAGGAGAUCACACAGCAUGAAAAUGAACCAUGUCAGUGUGGGUGGGUCUCGGGGGAGAAUGGAGAUGGGAGAUCACACAGCAUGAAAAUGAACCAUGUCAGUGUGGGUGGGUCUCAGGGGAGAAUGGAGACCGGAGAUCACGCAGCAAUGAAAAUGAACCACGUCAGUGUGGGUGGGUCUCAGGGGAGAAUGGAGGACAGAAACAGGCAUCGAGCAGAUGCUCAGAGCCAUGCAGCCUAGGAGCAGCCACGCAGGAGAAUUUCCUCACAUCAGAGUUCAAAACUCCAGCCGAGGCAACAGAGCAAGACCCUGCCUCAAAAAGACAAUGGAAAGUUCAAAAACUAAAUGGCAUAUUUUUUGGGAUGUACACAUACACGGUGAAAGAAACAUACUGUGAAGAAAAGUACAGGAAGAACAAAGACGAAAGCAGGAAGUGAUUCCCUCUGUAGGAGAAGGGAAGGGACUGGGAUUGAGGCAGGGCCUCCAGGGAGCAUCCAAAGUUAUGUCUCUUCACAUUCUAUUCCCUAAACCUGGCGGAGAUCCUCUGUGUCCAAUGUGUCAAUAUUCUUUAUACCUUACCCAUAUUGUAUCAAUGCUUCAUUUCUAUUCAAUAUUUAGAAGACAGUUAUAAACAAGAUAUGCAUUCAAUAGCAAGAUGGCCGAUGAACAUCAGGAAGGAACAUCCAUGAGGUUCCAUCCACAGAACCUCACCAUGGAUACACUUGUGAUCAAGGGCCUGGUCUCCCUUCAUGACACAGUCAGAGAGCAGUGGCUGCACCAUCAUAGCAGGGGAGUAGGACCAGCUGGGACAGGGUCCUUCUGUAACACCUGCUGCAUCGUCAGGCUGUGCGAACGGACUCAGCUGCCAGAACUCACAGAACAUCAGUAUCAGCACCGAAACCUCACAGGAAAAACGCUCCAUGAACUUCAGACUUAAACAGCAUCACUGGCUCCUGACCAGGAUUCCAGUUCCACGAACCUCAAACUAGAACACCAGCCCGGCUUCUCCGCAGGUCUCCAGUUCUAAAACCUAAGACAUCAGUGGCAGUACCUACUCCUCCCGGGGGAUCCAGCUCCGGGACCCUCAGACUUGAACAGCAGCACCAGCUCCUCUGCAGAUCUCCAGCUCCACCACCCUCAACUAGAAACACCAACACCGGCUCCUCCGCAGGUCUCCAGCUCCACAGCCUAAGACGUCAGAGGCAGCACUGGCUCCUCCCGUAGAUUCCAGCUCUGGGACCCUCAGAUUUGAACCGCAGGGUCACCUCCUCCCUGGAUCUCCAGCUGCACGACUCUCAAACUAGAACAUCAGCUCCUCCCAGGGUCUCCAGCUCUACAACUGUCAAACUAGAACACCAUCAGCUCCUCUCUGGGUCUCCAACUGCAUGACCCUCAAACUAGAAAAACAGCAGCAAACUGAAAAAACUCCCUGGGUUUUUCUAGUUUGAGAGUCAUGCCCAGCUGGACGCCCAGGAAGGAGCUGAUUUUACUCUAGUUUGAGCAUCAUGGAGCUGGACACCCAGGGAGGAGCUGGUGUUUUUCUAGUGAGGGUCAUGGAGCUGGACACCCUGGGGUUGGGCGGGGGGGCAGUGUUUUUCUAGUUUGAGGUCAUUUGAGGGUCAGGUGCACGACCCUCACACUAGAAAAACACCACAGCUCCUCCCCGGAUCUCCAGCUCCACAACCCACAAACUAGAACUUCAGCAGCUCCUCCCCUGGUCUCCAGCUCCACGACCCUCAAACUAGGAAAAAAUCAGCUCCUCCCUGUGUCUCCAGCUCCGUGACCCUCUGAUCAGAAAAACAUGAACUCCUACCUGGGUCUCCGGCUGCAGGAGCCUCAAACUAGAACAUCAGCUCAUCCCCAGGUCUCCAGCUCCAUGACCCUCAGACUUAAACAAGAGCAGCACUAGCUCCUCCCGGGGUCUCCAGCUCCACGAUGCUUGAAAUAGGAAAACAUCAGCUCCUCCCAGUGUCUCCAGCUUCAGGACCCUCUGAUCAGAAAAACAUCAGCUCUCUUAUGGGUCUUCAGCUACAGGAGCCUCAAAUUAGAAUAACAUCAGCUCCCCCCGGGUCUGCAGCUGCACAACUCACAACCUAGAACAACGUCGGCUUCUCUCCAGGUCUCCAGCUGCUGGACACUCAAACUAGAACAUCGGCCCCUCCCUGGAUCUCCAGCUCCAUGACCUUUUGAUCAGAAAAACAUGACCCGCUACCUGAGUCCCCAGACGCAGGAGCCUCAAACUAGAACAUCGUCAGCUCCUCCCCAGGUCUCCAGCUGCUGGACACUCAAACUGGAACAUCAGCUCCUCUCCAGCUGUAUGACACUCAUACAGAAAAAUGCCAGCUCCUCCCGGGUUCUACAGCUGCACGACCCUCCAACCAAAAAACACCUGCUCCUCAAAGGGUCUCCAGCUGCACGGCCCUCAAACUGGAACAUCAGCUCCUCUCCAGUUGCAGGACACUCAUACUAGAAAAAUGCCAGCUCCUCCCAGGUUCUACAGCUGCACGACCCACAAACUAAAGAAACCCCAGCUCCUCUCUGGGUCUGCAGCUGCACGAACCUCAAACUAGGUCACCUCUCCCCCUGGAUCUCCAGCUCCACGACCCUCACAGAGGAACAGCCACACCGGCUCCUUCCCUGUCUUCAGCUCCACAACCUAAGACCUCAGUGGCAGCACCAGCUCCUCCGUGGACCUCCAGCUCAACGACUCUUAGACUUAAAAGGCAGCGUCGGCUCCUCCCCAAGGUUCCAGCUCCACCACCCUCAGAUUUGAACAGCGGUAGCACCAGCUCCUGUCCGGGUCUUCAGCCCCACAACCCUCCCUGCACAAUCCCUUCUCGUGAAAUUCAGCAGUCAAGAACACUGCAGCGGAAGUAAAUAAAUAAUGUUUGUUGUCAAA